UUAAAGAGGGCUGGAAUGAAAGGUUUGACGAGGUAUUAGCUGUCUCAUUUUAUUUGAUUUUAAAAUUUAACUUUUUAGUCAAAAGGCUUAAAUUUAAUUGGUAGACGAGAAGACCCUAUAGAGCUUUAUAUUAAAUUAUUUAAUAAUUUGUAUAUAAAAUUUUAUUAUAUAAUUUAUUAUUCUGUUGGGGUGACAAGAAAAUAUAAAUAACUUUUUUAAUUAUAUAACAUUAAUAUAUGAUUAAUCGAUCCAUUAUUAUUGAUUAUUAGAUUAAGUUACCUUAGGGAUAACAGCGUAAUCCUCCCCCAGAGUUCAUAUUUACGGGUAGGGCUUGCGACCUCGAUGUUGGAUUAAGAUAAUAGUUAGGUGUAGCCGGGGUAAUAUAAGGUCUGUUCGACCUUUAAAUUCUUACAUGAUCUGAG
rnacentral:rRNA from 1 species